CACUAAUUUCAAAACAAUACAUGGUUGAGAUAGACAUUGGAAAGUUACAAAUUGAAGGAGCAAAAGCUACUUGUUUAGGUGAUUGUGUCUUUCCCCUAAGUUAAACUAAGCUAGACAAUUCCAGCACUGACCAGCUUCUGGAUCUUGUUAACCAUAAGCCUUCUCUUUUACUCACUAGAAUAUCCGUUGUGCCACUGCCCAUGCUCGUCAUCCAGUUGAUCAUCAAUUUCAGUCUAGUUCUAAACACCAUGCCAGAUAAUUUGAUUCAUGAGACACUCUAAUGUAGACAACAAUAAAUAAGUUCAGAAGCAUAAUAAAACAGAGAAACUAAUAGAAGUGGCUCUAAGUAAACCUCAGCACAAACUUAUUUCUUGCAAUUUAAUUUCACAAGCAUGACUGGUGUAUAUCAAUUUUCAGGACAUAUGUCACUCUAAGAGUGAUGGUGAGCACAGGGGCAAUCCACAGAGGAGCAAGGGUGGUCAAUUGACCCCGCAACCACGGAAUCCGCCACAUGAAGAAAGAAAAUUGACCCUGCAAUGGCUGGAUGGCUGGGCAAUUCAUGCCCGCUAUCUGUUCGAGGAAAUGCCUCAAGGGGACGCAUCAUCUUGA
rnacentral:lncRNA from 1 species